rnacentral:rRNA from 1 species
ACUUUCAGUUGCCAUCAUUCAGUUGGGCACUCUGGAAGAACUGCCGGUGAUAAGCCGGAGGAAGGUGUGGAUGACGUCAAGUCCUCAUGGCCCUUACGGGUUGGGCUACACACGUGCUACAAUGGUGGUGACAAUGGGUUAAUCCCAAAAAGCCAUCUCAGUUCGGAUUGGGGUCUGCAACUCGACCCCAUGAAGUCGGAAUCGCUAGUAAUCGCGUAACAGCAUGACGCGGUGAAUACGUUCCCGGGCCUUGUACACACCGCCCGUCACACCAUGGGAAUUGGGUUUACCCGACGACGGUGCGCUAACCUGCAAAGGAGGCAGCCGGCCACGGUAGGCUCAGUGACUGGGGUGAAGUCGUAACAAGGUAGUCGUAGGGGAACCUGC